UUCAGUUACAUUUUGAAACUACUUAAAAAAUGUGCACUGCUCAGACUAUUCAGUGAUGAAGUGUGGAAUGUGCUGGAGUCUUCAGUAAUACCCAACUUGCAUCUUCACUGCUGGCUGCUCUUCCUGUUUUGCUAUUGGUUGGCAAACAGAAUCACUCCGUGGCCAGAUUUUCCCCUCUAAGGACUCCACAGCACAAUUACUUUAAGGGCCCUUGCAAUAUAUUUUUAUUUUUUCUGAUGUCUUUAAAUUAUUAACAGUAUACUCAAAACAAAAAGUCCAAAUGCUCUUUACUUCAUAGCCAAUAGAUGGUCAAUGAUAGAUGCUCCUGAAAUCCAUUCUAUCACUUAAACUUGGGACCAUGAAUUCUCUUUGGGUCUUCUUUAUAGAUCAUGGAUGAGAAACUCUGAAAACAUCUGAGCCCACCAGGCACCGAAGGGCACGUGCUUGGUGCAUAAUCUAGCCAUGACUCAAGAAUACCUGAAGGUUGCUACAGAUUUGUUUACCUUAAAGCCGACUCCUUACCACCAAUUGUUCACUUGACCAAGGCGCCAUGCAGCCACCUGUGAUACUGGAAUUAAGACAUGGGCCCCAGCUGUCCACAAGACUGACUGCAUCAAAUCCUCUUAGACAAAGCCUGGAAACAAUGAGGAAUGAUCCUGCACCACCACCACCUACUCAAAGCAUCAUGAUGCACC